rnacentral:tRNA from 1 species
GCUCGGUUAGCUUAGUUGGUGAAGCGUGGUACUAAUAAUGCCAAGAUCAUGGGCUGAUCCCCCUACGGAGCA